rnacentral:rRNA from 1 species
GAUGAACGCUGGCGGCGUGCCUAAUACAUGCAAGUCGAGCGAACGGACGAGAAGCUUGCUCCUCUGAUGUUAGCGGCGGACGGGUGAGUAACACGUGGAUAACCUACCUAUACGACUGGGAUAACUUCGGGAAACCGUAGCUAAUACCGGAUGAUAUAUUGAACCGCAUGGUUCAAAAGUGAAAGACGCUCUUGCUGUCACUUAUAGAUGGAUCCGCGCUGCAUGAGCUAGUUGGGAAGGUAACGGCUUACCAAGGCAACGAUGCAUAGCCGACCUGAGAGGGAGAUCGGCUACACUGGAACAGAGACACGGUCCAGACUCUUACGGGAGGAAGCAGCAGGGAAUCUUACGCAAUGGGCGAAAGGGGGACGGUGCACAGCGGCGGGAGUGAUGAAGGUCUUAGGAUCGUAAAAUGAUGUAAUUAGGGAAGAACAAAUGUGUAAGUAACCGUGCACAUAUUGACGGUACCUAAUCAGAAAGCUACGGCUAACUACGUG